rnacentral:lncRNA from 1 species
CCGGCAUGGGGCCCCCUGCCACCCCCUCAGCGGCCAGUGUGUCUGCCCCUCCGGCUUCUCCGGCCAACUCUGUGAGAGGGGGUGUGAACCAGGCGCGUUUGGAGAGGGCUGCCGCCAGCGCUGUGACUGCGAGGCAGGGGCACCUUGCGACCCCAUCACCGGCCAGUGCCUGUGUCCCCCGGGGCGCACAGGGGCCGCUUGUGACCUCGACUGCACCCCCGGCUUUUUCGGGCCGGGCUGUGCCCUGCGCUGCAGCUGUGGGGCUGGGGCUGCCUGUGACCCCGCCAGUGGGCGGUGCCACUGCGUGGACGGCUACCUGGGGCCCACCUGUCAGCAAGCGGCCUCACACCCAGCUUCUCACGGACCAGCACUUGGGCUCAGCAGCAGGGCAGAGAAACACUAGCUCAGAGGCAGCCCCCAAGCAGGCCCGUCUUCCAGGCGCUUUGGUGUGACCGAG